AAAUUUAAAAAAAUAAAAUAAAACUAAAAUUUUCAAAAUAAAAAUGAUAUUUUGGUUAUUUUAGUUUUUGAGGUCAAUUUUGUGACAAAAACUUAAAAAUGUCUAUUUGAGAGAAUUGUCCAAUAUAUUAUCAUUCCAAAAUUAGUGUGUACAAAAUAUUUGUUGCCCAUAAGUUAUACCGAAUUUGAUCACUAUGUGCUAACCAGCUUAAUAUUUCACAAAAUAACUAACUUCAAAUUUUAGCUUAAUAUUUCACAAAAUAACUAACUUCAAAUUUUGAGCGUUAAAAAUAUCUUAAAACUAUCAUAAAUUAAUUUUUAAAUCUAAAAUAAAUAAAAUAUAAAAUUAUAAUAGGUGAGUAAUAAAAAACUAAUAUUGUCAUAUCAAUUAAUUUUUUUUCCUUUCUAUUACUAUUUUUUUCAUUUUUUGAAUGAAAUAUAAAAAAAUUCAUCAAAGUCUAAGGAAUCACAAGCUUAUUUAAUUUUAUGUAACAUUUAAAAUUAUCUGAGUUAUUUAAUCAAAUGCUUUAAAAAAUAUGUUAUCAGAGUUUUAGGUUUUUAUCGGAUCAACCGGUAUCGGACGCGGGUUAAUAGGGGAUUUUUGGAUUUUUACCUUAUUUUUACCGCAUUUUGUUUUAUACUAUAUAUAGAUCACUAGAUCUAUCGGUUCGACCAAAAGUUUAGAUUAGAUAUGAAAACACUAUGAAAUUACUGUUUAAAACUCAAAACAUUAUAAUAGAACAACUUUUAAAUUACUUAUUUCUAAUAAAAAAAAUAUAAAUUCAAUUAAAUUUUAUCAAACGGUCAACAAAAUAACCCGCGCUUUUCGAAAAUCUAGUAUAUAUAUAUAUAUAUAUAUAUAGUAGACUUUUUUCUCCACUGGGGGAAUUAAUACACGUGGCAUUUCAUUCCCGUAUUGGGCUAUUGAGUUCUGAGGCCCUUUUUGGUCAUGUCCAUUCAUCUAUAACGGGCUGACACGAAAUAAAACAGCCCAACUACCUCCUUCGUCGUCCUCUCGCUAGCCGUAGCUCCGAUCACCUCCUAAAAACGCCAUCAAAACGCCACCCUCACAGCAAAAUCAAACUUCUCAUCUACUCCCACUAACACACUACGUCUUACUAAAUUACCCCGUACUAAUCAUUGAAGAUCGCGAGACCAGUAGCGCUUUUGUUUUAUACAUAGUUGCGCCUCUACGUGUUGUUGAUCUCAGGUUAGUGACGUCGUAGUUUAGAUCGAUAGGCAGCAAGUUGGUGGGGAGAAUCUUGCGGAUAAUGGGAUUACGCUGCAUUCGAUGAUUAGGUUGACAUACAUAAUUAGGGUUUUGAAGGAGAUGGGGAAGAUCGAAGAGGGAGGGGAAGCGAACUUGCUCAAGUUUCUAAAGGAGAAACAUAGGGUUAGUGUUCAAGGAAAGGUCAGAGACAUAAUCUGAUGGGUAAGAAGCUGUUUGAGGCUAUAACGAAGAAAGAAACCAAUCGCUAGAUCUGGGGAUGAACCAUUAUCUGCAACUUUUAAAAAGAUUUUGAAUUGUUUCUGAGUCUGUCUGAAUCAAAGUAUAUAGAGUCUGAUGGAGUUGUUGAUUCUCUCACCAAAGGUAUAGUUUCUUUAUAUAUAUAGUCUCUGUAAAAUCUUGGAUUCAUACUUUAUGAUGCUUUGGUUUUUGGUAGUCCCAGCUCUUGGUUUUUCUAUGAUCCUUCUUUGGUUUUGCUUCAGAUUCAUUCAGCAUAAGCUAGGAGUCUCUGACUACGAGAAGCUAAAAAGCUUAGAAGUUUGAUCUUAAAAUAAAAUACAAUGAGCUUUUAGCUAAACCUCAGGAACCCUCAAAGAGGUAUUACAUCAUUGAACCAUCUACUGUUGAUUAGCACAUGAUUCCAUUCUUAUGUAGUUACUUAGUAUUGUUUUCACAAUAGUUUUUUCACCAUCCAUAAGCAGUUCAGAGAUCUUGAGGAUCGCUAGAGGCGAGGAGCUAAGUCCUCUCUCCGGAGUUUUUAUCGCCUUCCACCGCUUCUUCUCGCAUCACAGACCAUUAUUGUCGGUUGUUCAAUGCCACGGCGGUGAAGAAGGUUAAUAGUUGGGACGAUUAUUGUUGGGAAGAUGGAUAUGGAUGAAUUCGGUAUGGGAAGCCCAACUGAAGCUUUCGUCCUUUCAGGUAACUGCGAAGUCUUGGGACUUGACACAUGUAGCGGGAAGUUCAUCAGGAGGAUCAGCAGCAGCUGUUGCAGCAAUAUAAUGUAUGGUAGUGAUACUGGUGGGAGUGCGAGAUAGCUAGCUUCGCUUUGUGGUGUUGUGGUCUUAAGCCAACUUACGAGGUUUGGACUAAUGGCCUAUGCAUCUUCGUUGGAUGUCAUUGGUUGAUUUAGCUCUGCGUUUGCUGAUGCUAGGAUGCUUAUGAGAGGGUUGAAUCCACGAGUAGCAAACAGUUUCAAGGGAGUGAAAGGUGGUCCAUCCGCGAGAUGCUUGAAGAUGGUGUUUAUUCUGGAGUGAGAUAUGCAGCUUAGAAGCAUUGGGUUGUGUACGGACAGAGGUUUUCUUUCCGUCAUUCUCUCUUGGACUACCAGCUUAAUAUGUGGUGCAUGAUGAAUUAAUGUGGACAGAGUUUUGGAGUUGACGCAGAAGUGAGGAAGGUCCAGCUGAAAAGAGUUCUUAGUGAGGAGCUUCGCCAAAUAAUCUGAUGAUCUGAUCCCAUUUUGCUGGCUUUGGAUUGGUGUUAUAAUAUUCCCGUUCUUUUCUUCUUGCAACACUCUUAUUAUUAUGGGUGUGAACGGUCCACGAUCCCAACCCAAGGAUGUUACAGCCUGUAUCUCUUCCCUCGAGAAUCUUAUUAAGGCAAUAAUUACUUUAUGUUAGGAACAAAUUUUCUAAAGAACAUGAACACACCUUGAUUUGGUGACUGUUAUUAUCCAAGCUUAGCUUACUGAGAAUAACAAAUGUCAUGUAAGGUUCGAAAGUCAGAAUAGACCAUGUCAUCUGAAACAAAAAAAAAGAUGGAAGAUGUGUUUACUUCUAAUGCGUUAGUUCUUUUGAACACAGUCCAUAUCAUCAUUUGAGUUCGUAUUCUUAGAAAAAAUAUUAAAGUGCCAAAAAUUCAUAAGUAAAUAUACAAACUAAGAAAUAUUUAUAUUUGACAUAUAAAAUCUAACCAAUUGUCAUCCUAAAAUUAUUAUUUUAUUUAUUAUCAUAAUCACAAGAAAUUUGUGAUCUCUAAUAAAACUAACAAAAAAAUAGUGAAAGUUACAUUAACAACUAAAAUCACAUUAACAUUUUCAAAUGUUCAUUCAAAUGUAAGAUGUUUCUAUAUUAUCUUCCAAUUUACAAAGAUAAUAUUUUUCUGAGCACUUACAAAGAUAGUCUAAGAAAUGAAUAAGCAAGUUAAAAGGAAAGUGUUUCAUCGGUUUUCAAAGGUUCCAAGGAGAUACGACGAGGCAACUUUUUGUUAAUGCACAAGCUGCCACAACUAUGUUUAUGGAAGCGUUAAGUAUUCAUCAUCUAAAUUAUCUUUCAUUCCUCUAAUUGGUAACUAGAAGUGACCUAAUUCAUAAGUGAUAACCAAUCUGCCAAUGCGGGAUGUCUAAUACCAAAAUGUGCUUAAAAGAAACAAACACUGAAAAUUAUUCGAUAGUAUAUAUUUCAAAAUCUCUAAUCUGUUGAUUUGAUGACAUGGUUGAUCAUCAAACACAAUAUUAUUGAAAAACAAAUAUGAAAAAAGAUUAAUCUGAAUAAAAAGUAGUAGGGAAUUCAAGAAACAACGUUCAAAGCCGAAAAUAAUUUAUGGUUUGUGUUCUUAGAACCUAUUAUCAUAAUUAAAAUAGAACCUACUUUGUAAAAAAAAUGGUUAAAGAAAAAACUACAUUUCAUGUCAAACUUUUAAAAAUGAAAUAAUUAUAAUCGCCAAUAAAAAUAACAAAAUAAAACAAUAAAAUAAUUAAUUAACAAAAUUAAUGUAAUUAUUAACUGAGAGUAAACUAAAUAGUCCAUUUUCAAAUUCAUUAACACAAUAUCAAAUAACCUGAACGUAGCAGAUCUAUCACCGAAAUGUAUUAAAGGACUCAACCAUCUUUGCCAAUCUGCAGAUAAAAACUAUGACAACGGUACAUAUUUUUAUGGUAUAUUAAUGUUGUGCAGAGAUAAUUUUGAAAAGGGAAAAAAAUAUAUGGAUAAGAUAUCUUGGGAAAAUAGUCAAUUCAGGUCCGAUCAAUGCUGGAACAUAAUUAAAAAUUCACUUACUUGAUUCAAACUUCAUUUUGAAGACAAAUUA